rnacentral:rRNA from 1 species
GGGAUUGCCCCAGUAGCGGCGAGUGAAGCGGCAAAAGCUCAGAUUUGGAAUCGCUUCGGCGAGUUGUGAAUUGCAGGUUGGCGCCUCUGCGGCGGCGGCGGUCCAAGUCCCUUGGAACAGGGCGCCAUUGAGGGUGAGAGCCCCGUGGGACCGUUUGCCUACGCUCUGAGGCCCUUCUGACGAGUCGAGUUGUUUGGGAAUGCAGCUCUAAGCGGGUGGUAAAUUCCAUCUAAGGCUAAAUACUGGCGAGAGACCGAUAGCGAACAAGUACUGUGAAGGAAAGAUGAAAAGCACUUUGAAAAGAGAGUGAAACAGCACGUGAAAUUGUUGAAAGGGAAGGGUAUUGCGCCCGACAUGGAGCGUGCGCACCGCUGCCCCUCGUGGGCGGCGCUCUGGGCGUGCUCUGGGCCAGCAUCGGUUUUUGCCGCGGGAGAAGGGCGGCGGGCAUGUAGCUCUUCGGAGUGUUAUAGCCUGCCGCCGGCGCCGCGAGCGGGGACCGAGGACUGCGACUUUUGUCUCGGAUGCUGGCACAACGGCGCAACACCGCCCGUCUUGAAAACCCGAACAC